AUGCUUAACACAUGCAAGUCGAACGAGGUAGCAAUACCUAGUGGCAGACGGGUGAGUAACACGUAGUCAACCUACCUCUUUGUGGGGGAUAACUAGCCGAAAGGUUAGCUAAUACCGCAUGAGAUCGUCGAGCGGCAUCGCUUGACGAUGAAAGCAGUAAUGCGCUGAGAGACGGGACUGCGUCCCAUUAGUUAGUUGGUGGGGUAAUGGCCUACCAAGACUCCGAUGGGUAGCUGGCUUGAGAGAGCGACCAGCCACACUGGAACUGAGACACGGUCCAGACUCCUACGGGAGGCAGCAGUGGGGAAUAUUGGACAAUGGGCGCAAGCCUGAUCCAGCAAUGCCGCGUGUGUGAAGAAGGCCUUCGGGUUGUAAAGCACUUUUAUCUGGAACGAAACACGCAAGGUUAAUACCUUUGCGGACUGACGGUACCAGAGGAAUAAGCACCGGCUAACUUCGUGCCAGCAGCCGCGGUAAUACGAAGGGUGCAAGCGUUACUCGGAAUUACUGGGCGUAAAGCGUGAGUAGGUGGUUUCUUAAGUCUGCUGUGAAAGCCCCGGGCUCAACCUGGGAAUUGCAGUGGAUACUGGGGAGCUAGAGUGCGGUAGAGGGUAGUGGAAUUCCCGGUGUAGCGGUGAAAUGCGUAGAGAUCGGAAGGAACACCAGUGG
rnacentral:rRNA from 1 species